rnacentral:rRNA from 1 species
AUUGAACGCUGGCGGCAGGCCUAACACAUGCAAGUCGAGCGGAUGACGGGAGCUUGCUCCUUGAUUCAGCGGCGGACGGGUGAGUAAUACCUAGGAAUCUGCCUGAUAGUGGGGAACAACGUUUCGAAAGGAACGCUAAUACCGCAUACGUCCUACGAGAGAAAGCAGGGGACCUUCGGGCCUUGCGCUAUCAGAUGAGCCUAGGUCGGAUUAGCUAGUUGGUGAGGUAAUGGCUCACCAAGGCGACGAUCCGUAACGGGUCUGAGAGGAUGAUCAGUCACACGGGAACUGAGACACGGUCCAGACUCCUACGGGAGGCAGCAGUGGGGAAUAUUGGACAAUGGGCGAAAGCCUGAUCCAGCCAUGCCGCGUGUGUGAAGAAGGUCUUCGGAUUGUAAAGCACUUUAAGUUGGGAGGAAGGGCAGUAAGCUAAUACCUUGCUGUUUUGACGUUACCGACAGAAUAAGCACCGGCUAACUCUGUGCCAGCAGCCGCCGCGGUA